CCGAGUUUACAACUCCCGAACCCCAAUGUGAACGUUACCAAACUGUUGCCUCGGCGGGAUUUCUGCCCCGGGCGCGUCGCAGCCCCGGACCAAGGCGCCCGCCGGAGGACCAAACCUUACAAACUCUUUUUGUAUGUCCCUCUGCGGACUCUUUACAUUUCUGAGCUUUCUCGGCGCUCCUAGCGAGCGUUUCGAAAAUGAAUCA
rnacentral:misc_RNA from 1 species